rnacentral:rRNA from 1 species
UAGGGAAUCUUGCACAAUGGAGGAAACUCUGAUGCAGCGAUGCCGCGUGAGUGAAGAAGGCCCUUGGGUUGUAAAGCUCUUUCGUCGGGGAAGAAAAUGACUGUACCCGAAUAAGAAGAUCCGGCUAACUCCGUGCCAGCAGCCGCGGUAAUACGGAGGGAUCUAGCGUUAUUCGGAAUUACUGGGCGUAAAGCGAGCGUAGGCGGAUUUGUAAGUUGGAGGUGAAAUCCCAGAGCUUAACUCUGGAACUGCCUUCAAAACUACAUUUCUUGAGUUUGGUAGAGGAGAGUGGAAUUCCUAGUGUAGAGGUGAAAUUCGUAGAUAUUAGGAGGAACACCAGUGGCGAAGGCGACUCUCUGGGCCAAUACUGACGCUGAGGUUCGAAAGCAUGGGUAGCGAACAGG